rnacentral:rRNA from 1 species
UACGUAGGCAGCAAGCGUUGUUCGGAGUUACUGGGCGUAAAGAGCUCGUAGGCGGUUUGUUGCGUCGGCUGUGAAAUCCCGAGGCUCAACCUCGGGUCUGCAGUCGAUACGAGCAAACUAGAGUGUUGCAGGGGAGACUGGAAUUCCUGGUGUAGCGGUGAAAUGCGCAGAUAUCAGGAGGAACACCGGUGGCGAAGGCGGGUCUCUGGGCAACAACUGACGCUGAGGAGCGAAAGCGUGGGGAGCGAACAGG